AAUGAACGUUGGCGGCGUGGAUUAGGCAUGCAAGUCGAGCGGACGAGGGAGCUUGCUCCCGAGUUUAGCGGCAAAAGGGAUAGUAACGCGUAGUUUAUCAACCCUCAGGACGGGGAUAGCUUUUGGAAACGAAAGGUAAUACCCGAUAACAUCUCCGGAUCAAAGGUGAGAUUCCGCCUGGGGACGAGACUGCGUCCUAUUAGCUUGUUGGUGAGGUAAUGGCUCACCAAGGCAACGAUGGGUAGCGGGCGUGAGAGCGUGACCCGUAUCACUGGGACUGAGACACUGCCCAGACACCUACGGGUGGCUGCAGUCGAGAAUCUUCGGCAAUGGACGAAAGUCUGACCGAGCGACGCCGCGUGCGGGAUGAAGGUCUUCGGAUCGUAAACCGCUGUCAAGUUGGAGGAAGUGUACGGGGGCAAUCCCCUGUAUUUGACCGAUAGCAAAAGGAAGGACGGGCUAAGUUCGUGCCAGCAGCCGCGGUAAUACGAACCGUCCAAACGUUAUUCGGAAUCACUGGGCUUAAAGGGUGCGUAGGCUGUGUUAUAAGUUGGAUGUGAAAUCCCUCGGCUCAACCGGGGAACUGCAUCCAAUACUGUAAUGCUUGAGGGAGAUAGAGGUAAACGGAACUGAUUGUGGAGCGGUGGAAUGCGUUGAUAUGAUCAGGAACACCAGUAGCGAAAGCGGUUUACUGGGUCUUUACUGACGCUGAGGCACGAAAAGCCAGGGGAGCGAAUAGGAUUAGAUACCCUCGUAGUCCUGGCUGUAAACUCUCUGUACUG
rnacentral:rRNA from 1 species